rnacentral:rRNA from 1 species
GACGAACGCUGGCGGCGUGCCUAAUACAUGCAAGUAGAACGCUGAAGGAGGAGCUUGCUCUUCUGGACGAGUUGCGAACGGGUGAGUAACGCGUAGGUAACCUGCCUGGUAGCGGGGGAUAACUAUUGGAAACGAUAGCUAAUACCGCAUAACAGUAGAUGUUGCAUGACAUUUGCUUAAAAGGUGCAAUUGCACCACUACCAGAUGGACCUGCGUUGUAUUAGCUAGUUGGUGGGGUAACGGCUCACCAAGGCGACGAUACAUAGCCGACCUGAGAGGGUGAUCGGCCACACUGGGACUGAGACACGGCCCAGACUCCUACGGGAGGCAGCAGUAGGGAAUCUUCGGCAAUGGACGGAAGUCUGACCGAGCAACGCCGCGUGAGUGAAGAAGGUUUUCGGAUCGUAAAGCUCUGUUGUAAGAGAAGAACGAGUGUGAGAGUGGAAAGUUCACACUGUGACGGUAGCUUACCAGAAAGAGACGGCUAACUACGUG